rnacentral:lncRNA from 1 species
GUGAUUUGUAUUAGGAACAAAGUAUAUUUAGUGUGUUUUUUAUCACACCAUGUGAAUUGCGGUUGAGAAAUCUGUUGAGCAAGGUCUGAAGGUCCAAUUACCGAAUCUGUUCUGGUCCAUUUUGGAGUACAGUGUGUUGGUAUGUUGGAACAUACCGUGAACCAUUGGGGGAGGGCAACGAGGGGAGGAAGAAGAAGGAAGGAGGAUGAAGAGGAGUAAGAGGAGAAGCAGUGAUUUAAAAAGCGCUAGGCGCUCGCCCAGGCGCUCGCUCGAGCGAAGCGAGACGCUAAAAUAUAAAAAUAUAUAAUAUAAUUAAUAAAUAUAAUUAUUUAAAAUUUUAAAUAAAAAUAUGCUAUUAAAUUAAGAAAAUCUAUUAACACUAUUGAAAAUUAAUCAUUUCAAAUAAACUUAAUAUUAACAGUAUACUGUAUACUGAGCCUGCUGAUUGAGAAACAAGGAAGCAGCGGCGAGCGGCGAGCAACGGCAGCGGGAGCGACGAGCAGCGGGAGGCGUGAGCGGCGACAGCGACAGUGUUUGCGAGCAGCGGCAGCGGGAGCAGGAGCGGCAAGCAGCGGGAGGCGCGAGCGGCGACAGAGGCAGCGUUUGCGAGCAGCGACAGCGGCAGCGAGAGCAGGAGCGACGAGCAGCGGGAGGUGUGAGCAGCGACAGCGGCGACAACGACAGCGUUUGCGAGCAGCGACAAUGGCGAGCAGCGAGAUCGGGAUCGGGAGUGGCAGCGGCAGCAGGUUAGGGUUGGGUAAGGGUUAUAUCGAUUUAGUUGGUUCGAUUGAACCAACUAACCAACCGAACCAGGACCGAACCAGACCUAAAAUCCUAGUUCGGUUGCCUUGGUUUACCCAGGCGCUCGCCCGAAGCGCCCAGCGCCUGGGCUCGGGCGAGCGCCCAGGCGGCGCCUGUUUGAAGCGCGCCGCCUGGGAGAUUAGCGAGGCGCUCGGGCCUCGCCUCGCCUCGCCCGAGCGCCUUUUUCAAUCACUGAGGAGAAAGGAGGUGGAAGGAAAAGGAAGAAGAGGUGAGGAGUAAGAAAGAAGAAGAAAGAGAAAGAGGAGGAGGAGGCCGUGUGAGUGACAAAUGAUGAUGGCCAUUUGAGUA